rnacentral:tRNA from 1 species
AGGGAAAUAGCUCAGUGGUAGAGCACAUGCUUAGCAUGCAUGAGAUCUGGGGAUCAAUCCCUAGUAACUCCA